AGUCGACGGUGACACGGAGCUUGCUCUGUGGGAUCAGUGGCGAACGGGUGAGUAACACGUGAGCAACCUGCCCCUGACUCUGGGAUAAGCGCUGGAAACGGCGUCUAAUACUGGAUACGAACCGCGAAGGCAUCUUCAGUGGUUGGAAAGAAUUUCGGUUGGGGAUGGGCUCGCGGCCUAUCAGCUUGUUGGUGAGGUAAUGGCUCACCAAGGCGUCGACGGGUAGCCGGCCUGAGAGGGUGACCGGCCACACUGGGACUGAGACACGGCCCAGACUCCUACGGGAGGCAGCAGUGGGGAAUAUUGCACAAUGGGCGCAAGCCUGAUGCAGCAACGCCGCGUGAGGGAUGACGGCCUUCGGGUUGUAAACCUCUUUUAGCAGGGAAGAAGCGAAAGUGACGGUACCUGCAGAAAAAGCGCCGGCUAACUACGUGCCAGCAGCCGCGGUAAUACGUAGGGCGCAAGCGUUAUCCGGAAUUAUUGGGCGUAAAGAGCUCGUAGGCGGUUUGUCGCGUCUGCUGUGAAAUCCCGAGGCUCAACCUCGGGCCUGCAGUGGGUACGGGCAGACUAGAGUGCGGUAGGGGAGAUUGGAAUUCCUGGUGUAGCGGUGGAAUGCGCAGAUAUCAGGAGGAACACCGAUGGCGAAGGCAGAUCUCUGGGCCGUAACUGACGCUG
rnacentral:rRNA from 1 species